rnacentral:rRNA from 1 species
GACGAACGCUGGCGGCGUGCUUAACACAUGCAAGUCGAACGGAAAGGCCCUGCUUUUGUGGGGUGCUCGAGUGGCGAACGGGUGAGUAACACGUGAGUAACCUGCCCUUGACUUUGGGAUAACUUCAGGAAACUGGGGCUAAUACCGGAUAGGAGCUCCUGCUGCAUGGUGGGGGUUGGAAAGUUUCGGCGGUUGGGGAUGGACUCGCGGCUUAUCAGCUUGUUGGUGGGGUAGUGGCUUACCAAGGCUUUGACGGGUAGCCGGCCUGAGAGGGUGACCGGCCACAUUGGGACUGAGAUACGGCCCAGACUCUUACGGGAGGCAGCAGUGGGGAAUAUUGCACAAUGGGCGGAAGCCUGAUGCAGCAACGCCGCGUGCGGGAUGACGGCCUUCGGGUUGUAAACCGCUGUCGCCUGUGACGAAGCGUGAGUGACGGUAAUGGGUAAAGAAGCACCGGCUAACUACGUG